rnacentral:lncRNA from 1 species
AUGAAAAUCACCCUGAUUUUCUCCCUGAUUGCGGCUCUGUCCUCACUUCCAUUUCUCAGAGAUGUCCUUGGCCCUUCCAGCUUUCAUGGCUGGACCUGGAACACGGACAUAAAGCUGGUCCUUGAGGUGCCGCUGCCCGUUGACAUCCAGGGCCAGACCUCCAGCUGGCUCUGUUGGCUUGGCCUUUGGCCCUGCCACGAACAGGGCUGCUCCAGGGUCAGUAGAGACAGCAUUACAGAAGACCCGAAGCAGCAGCCCCUGGGCACAGAGCAGAAGGCCUCCAAGGGGUCCUUCUGGUCGGGACUUUCAGCGUACCCCAUUCAGAUCUGGGAAAGGGUCAGCAAGAUGGUCCUUCCCAAGAAGAAGCAGCCUGUUAUCGCUGCGGAACAGCCUUCGAAAAGGGUCUGUUGGCUAGGCCUGUCUUCCUGCCCCAAAUGGCUCCAAUAUGGGGUCAGCAGGGCUGGUGUAACGCAGGGCCCGAAGCAGCAGCCCCUGGGCACGGAGCAGAAGGCCUUCAAGGGGCCCUCCUGCCCUGGCCUUUCCGAACACCCAGUGAGGAUCUGGGAAAGGGUCAGGAAGAUGGUCCUUCCCGAGAAGAAGCAGCCUGUUCUUGCUGCGGAACAGCCUUCGAACGGGCCCUGUUGGCUAGGCCUGUCUUCCUGCCCCAGAUGGCUGCAAUAUGGGGUCAGCAGGGCUGGCGUAACUCAGGGCCCGAAGCAGCAGCCCUUGUGCACCGAGCUGAAGGCCCUCAGUUUGCCCUACCCUCUGGGCCUCCUUUGGGACUACCUGGACCAAGCGGGGAAAACCUGGCUCCUUACUUAUGGCCUGGCAGAUGUCUGCCUUCUCUGCCUGCUGACGAUUGCCCGCAGCCUCUGGGGAAAAGUAAGAAGAACUUGGCAACAGGCAACGGGACGAAUGGACUCGGCUUCCACGCAAACAGACUGCCUGCAAAGGGACACCAGAAAUUAUCAGAACCAGCUCUGGCAGAUGCAGGCCCAGCUACUGUUAAUGGAGAAGUACCUGAUGAUCCUCGAGAAGAAGUUCCAGUGCCAGCAUUCAAGGCAGGAGCACGGAGCAAGGAAGCUGAGCUGCACCUCAUCCAGUUCCAGCCCGUUUGCCACUUCACACAGUGCACCAGCUGCUUCCAUAAGGCACAACCUGGGAAACUUCAAGCAGCUUUAA